UCUUUAUCUAGAGAGGUGGAGGGACUGGCCCGAUGAAGCCCGGCAACCGUCAUGCAGUUUGUGACAAGGUGCCAAUUCCUGCAGGACGAAAAAUCGUUCUGGGAGAUAAGGA
rnacentral:ncRNA from 1 species